rnacentral:rRNA from 1 species
AUGGGACUCCUCUCCUACGCUGCCAUGUGCCUCUCGCUGGCGUUUCUUCUCCAAUCCUACGCCGCCGCGACGGCGCCAACCGGCAUGCUUGAGCGGGAAACCAAGCAGCAAAUCAUAGCGAGCAUCCCGCCGCACGGGCAGGAGAACCCCGUGCUAUUCCUGACGUCGCCGUCCGGCAAGUACGCGGCGCACUUCAUGCGCAGCCAGACCGCGCCGGGCGCGGGCGGCCUCGGAGCCGACUUCUGCUACGUCGAGAUCCUCGACUCCACGGAGCCCGGCGCGGAGGGGCGGAGCGUGUGGGAGUCGGAGUGCUUGGCGGUGAGCACAGUCAACACGUGCGUGCUCGUGUUCUCGUGGAAAGGGCUGGAGGUGUUCGACGGGAGCAACUCCGUGUGGCACACGCACGACACGGAGUCGGACGACAACAACUUCCUCAAGACCCUGCAGCUGGUUGACGAGGGUGACAUGCGCAUCCUCGACAAGGGCGGCGAGCUCGCGUGGAAGGCCAGCGACGAGCCGCGCGCGGCGCAACACUGCGGGAUGCCCGGCUCGCCCGGCCUGGUCUCGGCAAUGCCGCCCUUCGCGGAGCCGGCUGGGCACGGAAGCAGCAACCUGCCAUUUGGACAGGAACCAGAAGGCACUGGCAAUGCCGGUGUAGCACAGCCCACUCUGCCGCUGCCGGAAGCGGCAGGGACCGGUGGUGUCGCUGGGCAGGGGCAGGCCGUGGAGGACGUGGGGCAGACGAUUGGGUUUGGCAGCCAACCAUUGGUGGACAACAGCCCAUACGACAGUGGUGCACCGAAGCAUGGAUGCAGCUUGCUUGGAUUUGGAGUUGCACUGGGUGUCAGUAGUGCUGCCAUUGCCAUGGCCCUCGGUCUCUGA